AUUCCAGCUCCAAUAGCGUAUAUUAAAGUUGUUGCAGUUAAAAAGCUCGUAGUUGGAUUUGUGGUGUACUUCGGCGGCCCGUCACUAUGUGAUGGAGCUUGCUGAAGUCGCCAUCCUUGGGUGGAUCCUGUGUGGCAUUAAGUUGUCGUGCAGGGGAUGCCCAUCGUUUACUGUGAAAAAAUUAGAGUGUUCAAAGCAGGCUUAUGCCGUUGAAUAUAUUAGCAUGGAAUAAUAAGAUAGGACCUUGGUACUAUUUUGUUGGUUUGCGCUCCAAGGUAAUGAUUAAUAGGGACAGUUGGGGGUAUUCGUAUUUCAUUGUCAGAGGUGAAAUUCUUGGAUUUUUGAAAGACGAACUACUGCGGAAGCAUUUACCAAGGAUGUUUUCAUUA
rnacentral:rRNA from 1 species